AUGCUGAUGCUCUGCAGAUCCUCCUCCAGCAGCUUCACCCCCCCCACGCUGCCCGCCUUCAGAAUAAGAGCCUUUGGGCUGCGUUGGACCCGGACUGGCUGCAGGUGCGAGGGGACUCUGCAGCGGAUCAGAACCAAGAGGAGAGCCGGACUCCACAGCAGGUCUGGUGAAGCCCCUGCCUUCAAAAUAAUGGUCCUCAGAUUGUGGAACACCUUCAGAAUAAGAGCCCUCGGGGUGUGCCUCUGCUGUACUUCCAUGUUGGCAGUUCUCAGGCCAGGUUUUUUUGGAAUUAUUUUCAAAAUAAGAGUCUUCAGAUGGAGUUGGUGCCGUCCUUUCAGAAUAAGAGUCUUUAAAGGGUGUUUGACUUGUGCUUUCAAGGUAAGAGUCCCCAGGUUGUGUUUGCAGUACACUUUCAGAAUAAGAGUCCCCAGGCUGUGUUUGCAGUACACUUUCAGAAUAAGAGUCCCCAGGCUGUGUUUGCAGUACACUUUCAGAAUAAGAGUNNNNNNNNNNUUCCAGGUUGUUUUUGCAGUACACUUUCAGAAUAAGAGUCCCUAGGCUGUGUUUGCAGUACACUUUCAGAAUAAGAGUUUCCAGGUUGUUUUUGCAGUACACUUUCAGAAUAAGAGUCCACAGGUUGUGUUUGCAGUACACUUUCAGAAUAAGAGUCCCCAGGUUGUGUUAGCAGCACACUUUCAGAACAAGAGUCCCUAGGUUGUGUUAGCAGUACACUUUCAGAAUAAGAGUCCUCAGGUUGAGCUUGUAUUGUGCUGUCAGGUGUCAAGUAUUCAGGCUGUGUUUGCUGUUGGUUAUUUUCAGAAUUAGGGUCCUCUGGCUGUGUUUCUACUGUACUUUCAGAAUAAGAGUCUUGACAGUGUGCUCGAGUUGUGAUUUUAGACAUGGUAUUAUCAUGUAGCGCUUUAUUUUCAAAAUAAGGCUUCUGUGCUUGGACUAGUAAUGCGUUUUCGGAGUAAAAGUCUUCAGCCUGUGGCCCUCCAUUUUCAGUAUAUUUAAGUAGGGGAUUAUUAAAAUAAGAGUCCCUGGAGCAGCAUGUUUGAACAGUAACUUCAAAGUAAGAGUCCUUAAGGUUAAUUUGCUUACUACUUUCAGAAUAAGAGUUCUGAGGGACUGGCUCUACUGCACCUUCAGAAUAAGAGUUCUGAGGGACUGGCUCUACUGUACCUUCAGAAUAAGAGCUCUCAGGACAUAUCUGUAAACUGUUGUUUUCAAAAUAAAAUCCUUCUGUAUAGCUUUGUUGCGCUUUAUUUUCAUUAAAAGAUAUUUCUAUGGGUUUCUGUUUCAGGACAUCAUCUAAAUAGAAUUCCUCUUGCGGAAAACUUCCAGAAUAAGAGCCUUCAUGUUUAGUCUCCCCUGUAAUCCUUUCAAAGUAAGAGUCCUGAAAUGUUUCUCUUUGUUCUGUCAUUUCUUUCCCUCCAUCUCUUCCUUCCUUCAUUCUUUCUGUGGUCACUUGCCUCUCCUCCUCUGUUUCUUCCCGCAUCUCCACCUUAAUCUCCGCCUCCUCUGCUAUCAAUGGUAACUCUUCACCUCCACUUUUCACCUUCUCAUCACUUUUCUUCUCCAUCUCUGGCCUCCUGGUUUCUAACUGCUGCUCCUUUUUCACCUCCCCUUUCCUCUUUUCUUUUUCACAAACAGCUUCACACCUGAGCUCCUCCUGCCCCCUGCCCUCCUCUUCCUUCCCAAGCUCUUCCUGUUUGGUGCAGGUUUCAGUUUCAGGAUGCAGAUUCAGAGUGUUCCUGUGUGAAGCGGUACCUUCUGCUGGUUCCGCCUGAGAACCGGACCUGCACAUGUGCGUUGCUGCAUAGGUGCGUGUGUGCGCACAGAUCUGGUUGCUGCUUCUGGCUCGGUUCUGCAGGCUGAUGGACUGAGUUAAAGAUCCUUUCUGGGGGGAGAAGCGCGGGAGCUCAGUUAGCUCCACGUACUCCCCCUCCGACUCCUCGCCGUCACUGCUUGCUGCUGAUUGGCUGCUUCUGAAGGGGAGGACCUCCACAUCCUGACCGUGCGAGUUAGUGUCUCUGCUCUUCACGGACGUCUUCUCGUCAUCCCUGUGGUUGGUGCGACUGAUGAAUUGUGGGUAGACCAAAUCCUCCCAGGGGACCCUGAAGACAUCCCCGUGCGCAGACAGAAGGCAGCGCUCCAACCGGGGCCCCCCUCGCUGCUCCCUGUCCCUGUUGACAGAGUCCAGCCAGGCCAUGGUGAAGAGCGUCCUCAGAGCAACGGUGGUCACCUCCUGCUGCUCCACAUCGAGGCCCACAGCCAAACAGCUGCACAGGAGCAGGCGGGGGGGUGGGGUCACACUUCUCCUGCAGGCGGCAGUGUAGCGCACUCGAGAAAUGGGCGGAGCAGCGGGAGGAGAAACAAGCAGGUAAAAGUCUCCUGGUUGGAGGAGGUGGGGGUCCAGAGGACAGAGCUGAACGACUAUCUUCUCAUGGAUGCAGAGGGGCCAGCCUUCAUGACGGAAGAGCAACCCACUGAACGGCAGCUGGGGGGGCGAGAGGAGGCGGAGUCACGUCAUAUGUCUGGACGGUUCCUCGCAGACGCAGUCGGAUACUCACGCAGGCGUCCUGCUGCACGCUUUGUAGGAGCUGCUUUGCUGGAAGCAGGAAGUGGAUCAGGUACUGGAGGCCGUCCCCCCUGAAGCAGCUCUCCACCACGCCGAGGACCUGACAGAGGACGGUUGGGGAUGUGGCCUGGAAGGGGGGGUAGAGGUCUGCCAGAGCCGCCUGGAUGCAGCGGUCCAAAGACUCAGAGUCCUGGGAGGAACAGAUGGAGGUGAUCAGAGAGGGUCUCAUUCAAACCGAACACCCCCAAGACAGACAGACAGACAGGAGCCCCCCCCCCCCCCCCCCCCCCCCCCCCACAUCUGCAGCUUCAGCUUCAGGUUAGAGCAUAGGGGGGUAGAACCGAAGAGAGCUGAGGUUCUGGAGCUGCUUCUUCAAAAACCUCAUUAGAGCUGGAUCACCUGAGUCCCGGCGCUGAACCAGCCGAUCAGACCCACAUCCGGUCCUGCCUCGGUCCACCUUCUGCCCCACAGCCCCUCCCUGACUGAGAAGACCCAUCUACUUUCAGAGCGGCAGAUCCAGUUACAGCAGCAGACGGGCCUCCCAACCACUCGGCUAAAAAUACGCGGCUGUGGACGCCGUCCAGCAGCCUGUGCGCCAGGCUCAGAUGGGGGGGGGGCUGUCUGUGCCCGGUUUCAACCUUUGAUCAGAACCAAAGAAUGAGAUCAAGGACGAGGGUUUCGCCCCCUACAGUCCAAACCAAGUAGCACAUACUGGUCGGGACUCUGAUGUGUUUGUGAAUCUUCCUGUCAUUUAAAACGUGCAGAUUUUGCUGCAGACAGAACUGCAGCCUGAACUGUCAGACUGUGUCUCACACGGAGCUCUGCCUCUUUUUUAACC
rnacentral:lncRNA from 1 species